GAUGAACGCUGGCGGCGUGCUUAACACACGCAAGUCGAGCGAAGCAAUUUAAAGGAAGUUUUCGGAUGGAAUUUAGAUUGACUUAGCGGCGGACGGGUGAGUAACGCGUGGGGAACCUGCCUCGUACUGGGGGAUAACAGUUAGAAAUGACUGCUAAUACCGCAUAAGCGCACGGGAUGGCAUCAUCUGGUGUGAAAAACUCCGGUGGUAUGAGAGGGACCCGCGUCUGAUUAGCUAGUUGGUAGGGUAACGGCCUACCAAGGCGACGAUCAGUAGCCGACCUGAGAGGGUGACCGGCCACAUUGGGACUGAGACACGGCCCAAACUCCUACGGGAGGCAGCAGUGGGGAAUAUUGCACAAUGGGCGAAAGCCUGAUGCAGCGACGCCGCGUGAGUGAAGAAGUAUUUCGGUAUGUAAAGCUCUAUCAGCAGGGAAGAAAAUGACGGUACCUGACUAAGAAGCCCCGGCUAACUACGUGCCAGCCGCCGCCGUAA
rnacentral:rRNA from 1 species